AGAAUCAACGCUGGCGGCGUGCCUAACACAUGCAAGUCGAACGAGAAAGUGGAGCAAUCCACGAGUAAAGUGGCGCACGGGUGAGUAACACGUGACUAACCUACCCUUGAGUGGGGGAUAACCUAGGGAAACCUGGGCUAAUACCGCAUAAUACCUUCGGGUCAAAGGAGCAAUUCGCUUAAGGAGGGGUCGCGGCCGAUUAGUUAGUUGGCGGGUAAUGGCCCACCAAGACUGUGAUCGGUAUCC
rnacentral:rRNA from 1 species